rnacentral:rRNA from 1 species
GAUGAACGCUGGCGGGGUGCUUAAUACAUGCAAGUCGAGCGAACAGAUGAGGUUCUGGCUGCUCUGGCGUUAGGGGCGGAUGUGUGAGUAAAACGUGGGUAACCUACCUCUAAGGAUGACUUCACUUAAGGGAACCGAAUCUAGUACCGGAUAAUCUAGUGAACGGCAAGGUUCAUUAGUCAAAGACGGUUUGGCUAUCACUUUUUGAUGGAUCCGCGCCGCAUUAGCUAGUUGGUAAGGUAACGGCUUACCAAGGCAACGUUGCGUAGCCGACCUGAGAGGGCGACCGGCCACCCUGGAACUGAGACACGGGCCAGACUCCGACGGGAGGCAGCAGUAGGGAAUCUUCGGCAAUGGGCGCAAGCCUGACCGAGCAACGCCGCGUGUGUGAUGAAGGUCUUCGGAUCGUAAAACGCUCUUAGUAGGGAAGAACAAAUGUGGAAGUAAACCUGCACGUCUUGACGGUACCUAUUUACAAAGCCCCGGCUAACUACGUG